rnacentral:rRNA from 1 species
UACGGGGGGGGCAAGCGUUGUUCGGAAUUACUGGGCGUAAAGGGCUCGUAGGCGGCCAACUAAGUCAGACGUGAAAUCCCUCGGCUUAACCGGGGAACUGCAUCUGAUACUGGAUGGCUUGAGUUCGGGAGAGGGAUGCGGAAUUCCAGGUGUAGCGGUGAAAUGCGCAGAUAUCAGGAGGAACACCGGUGGCGAAGGCGGUUCUCUGGGAAUGACCUGACGCUGAGGAGCGAAAGUGUGGGGAGCGAACAGG